UCAUCGAUUACACUCCCCUGUCACCAGUGAUUCUUUUUUGCUGACAUUCUGAAAAAGUAUUGUGUACUCGAGAUUGUGUAGUCCCUGUGACAAGAACAUGAAAGAUAAAGGGGAAACUAUAAACAGAAGAAAUUAUCAACAAAAUAAGAUUUACAGAGGUCAACAAAGCCUAAAUGGUCAGACAUCUCAAUUUUCAUGGUCAUCAUUCACAGAUCAAUACUGAACGGAAAACUUAAAGCUGAUAUUUUUCUCCAUGGUGCGACUUUUUUAUUAAUUUGAAAUGGAACAUGUUUUUUCCUACAUUUAUUUGAAAGAGGAAAUUUCAACAUGAUGACUAUAAACAAAAAUGAGUCAUAUCAUCACGAUCAUUGAUGCACAAGAACUUGAUCAUAUAAAUACAACAAUGUAAUUAUCAAUUGAAAGAUGGAAUGAAUGAACAAGAUAUUAGAAUGUUGUUGUCCAAAUAAACUUGCUUUGUCUUCUCAUUUGAAUCUCUCCAUUCAAUAAAGAUGUACAGAGGAAGAUCUUUGAAGAACAGAUUGAAAAAAUAUUUUGUCUAAGAAUUGCAGGAAUAUUCUAGUGAAUGAAAUUAUUUAUU